GCCGAAGUAACUCAGCGGUAGAGUAGCUGUUUUGUAAACAGCAAGUCGCGGGUUCGAAUCCCGCCUUCGGCUCAA
rnacentral:tRNA from 3 species